rnacentral:rRNA from 1 species
UACAGAGGGUGCGAGCGUUAAUCGGAAUUACUGGGCGUAAAGCGCGCGUAGGCGGCUUUGCAAGUCGGGUGGGAAAUCCCCAGGCUUAACCUGGGAACUGCAUUCGAGACUGCAUUGCUAGAGUAUGGGAGAGGGAAGUGGAAUUUCCGGUGUAGCGGUGAAAUGCGUAGAUAUCGGAAGGAACAUCAGUGGCGAAAGCGACUUCCUGGACCAAUACUGACGCUCAUGUGCGAAAGCGUGGGGAGCAAACAGG